ACGUAAACAUAAACAAAACAGAAAUUAUACAAAAAGCGGUGAUUUGGUUAAUUGGCGAUUGGAAAAUAUUAAAUACGCGAUUUAAAUUGGAAUCAGUUGAAUUUUAAAAGCUAGUAAAUAGACACUUAAGUGUCGUGGAAAAAACAGUUUGUGAUAGGAAAAAACAUUGUGCGGAGACCAAAAUCUUUAAGCGGAUCAAAUCAUAUACACGGUUGAUUGAUUUUUUGCUGGAAGAACUCCCAUCGAUUCUAUCACAACAACAACUAUACGGAUAGUUCGUGCUAGCACUGAUGAUGGUCAAAUCAAGACGCUGAUAAAAAAUAAUCCUCGGUACACGACAAAUGAAUUAGUAAAUUCACUACAGACAUCUAAAGCCACCGUUCACAAGCAGUUGGUGAAGCUGGGUUUCAUACCGUUUGAUCGAAAAUCCUUUAAGGGAUUGCAUCUCCAUCUGUCGAUUAAUUUCCACUGCUCGCAGCUAGACAAAAUCAAAGCAGAAAACUCGUGUUACAUCAGGGCAACGUCAAACUUCAUGUCUUUUUGACAACAGGGCAAAUUCUUCUGGAGUCUGGCUGGGAGGACCUAUCCCACCAGCUAAUCUAACUGGAUCUUGCACUUUCAGACUCUGGCAAGUUGAAGUCCCUGAAAAAUCAUCUUAAGGGCAAGAACUUCGACUGUAUGAAUAGCAUAGAAAAUACC